GCGGGGGUCGCCUAGCCAGGUCAAUGGCGCUGCCCUGAGGCGGCAGUCCCGUUGGGGUACGUGGGUUCAAAUCCCACCCCCCGCA
rnacentral:tRNA from 2 species